rnacentral:rRNA from 1 species
GACAGAGGCCUCAAGCGUUAGGCGGAAUCACUGGGCUUAAAGCGUGUGUAGGCGGAUCGUUAAGUACCUUGUGAAAUCCCGCGGCUCACCCGUGGAACUGCUGGGUAUACUGGCGGUCUUGGGCCAACUAGGGGCAGCUGGAACAAGCGGUGGAGCGGUGAAAUGCGUAGAUAUCGCUUGGAACGCCGAAGGUGAAAACAGGCUGCUGGGGUUGUGCCGACGCUGAGACACGAAAGCCAGGGGAGCAAACGGG